rnacentral:tRNA from 1 species
UAGCCUAGUGGUUCAGGCUCUGGAUCGCCAAUCCGGAGACGACGGGUUCGAUUCCCGU